UCCGGUUUAACACCGGCAGUCUCCCUAGAGUCCCCAACUGAAUGGUGGUAACUAAGGAUAGGGGUUGCGCUCGUUGCAGGACUUAACCUAACAUCUUACGACACGAGCUGACGACAGCCAUGCAGCACCUAUCACCUUGUCUCCGAAGAGAAAACUACAUCUCUGUAGUCGUCAAGGGAUGUUAAGCCCAGGUAAGGUUCUGCGCGUUGCUUCGAAUUAAACCACAUACUCCACCUCUUGUGCGGGCCCCCGUCAAUUCCUUUGAGUUUUAGCCUUGCGACCGUACUCCCCAGGCGGGAUACUUAAUGCGUGAGCUUUGGUACCCAGUCGGUUAGACAACCGGACACCUAGUAUCCAUAGUUUACAGCGUGGACUAC
rnacentral:misc_RNA from 1 species